rnacentral:rRNA from 1 species
CCUACGGGAGGCUGCAGUGGGGAAUAUUGCACAAUGGGGGAAACCCUGAUGCAGCAACGCCGCGUGAGCGAAGAAGGCCUUAGGGUUGUAAAGCUCUUUUGUCCGGGACGAUAAUGACGGUACCGGAAGAAUAAGCCCCGGCUAACUUCGUGCCAGCAGCCGCGGUAAUACGAAGGGGGCUAGCGUUGCUCGGAAUCACUGGGCGUAAAGGGCGCGUAGGCGGCCAUUUAAGUCGGGGGUGAAAGCCUGUGGCUCAACCACAGAAUUGCCUUCGAUACUGGGUGGCUUGAGUCCGGAAGAGGUUGGUGGAACUGCGAGUGUAGAGGUGAAAUUCGUAGAGAUUCGCAAGAACACCGGUGGCGAAGGCGGCCAACUGGUCCGGAACUGACGCUGAGGCACGAAAGCGUGGGGAGCGAACAGGAUUAGAUACCCUAGUAGUC